AUUGAACGCUGGCGGCAGGCCUAACACAUGCAAGUCGAGCGGAUGAAGGUAGCUUGCUACCUGAUUCAGCGGCGGACGGGUGAGUAAUGCCUAGGAAUCUGCCUGGUAGUGGGGGACAACGUUUCGAAAGGAACGCUAAUACCGCAUACGUCCUACGGGAGAAAGUGGGGGAUCUUCGGACCUCACGCUAUCAGAUGAGCCUAGGUACGAUUAGCUAGUUGGUGAGGUAAAGGCUCACCAAGGCGACGAUCGUUAACUGGUCUGAGAGGAUGAUCAGUCACACUGGAACUGAGACACGGUCCAGACUCCUACGGGAGGCAGCAGUGGGGAAUAUUGGACAAUGGGCGAAAGCCUGAUCCAGCCAUGCCGCGUGUGUGAAGAAGGUCUUCGGAUUGUAAAGCACUUUAAGUUGGGAGGAAGGGCAGUAAGUUAAUACCUUGCUGUUUUGACGUUACCGACAGAAUAAGCACCGGCUAACUUCGUGCCAGCAGCCG
rnacentral:rRNA from 1 species